AGGACGAACGCUGGCGGCGUGCUUAACACAUGCAAGUCGAGCGGAAAGGCCCUUCGGGGUACUCGAGCGGCGAACGGGUGAGUAACACGUGAGUAACCUGCCCCUAGCUCUGGGAUAGCUCCGGGAAACCGGGAUUAAUACCAGAUACGACCACUUUAGACAUCUGUCGUGGUGGAAAGGAUUCCGGCUAGGGAUGGGCUCGCGGCCUAUCAGUCUUGGUUGGUGGGGUAACGCCUACCAAGGCGACGACGGGUA
rnacentral:rRNA from 1 species